GUGCUCGCUUCACAGCACAUGUAUUCAAAUUGGAACAAUACAGAAAAGAUGAGUAUAUAGCCCUUCUGCGAGAAUAACAUGCAAAUCUGUGAAGUGUUAAACAUAAAU